rnacentral:tRNA from 4 species
GCGGGCGUGGCGAAACUGGUAGACGCAAGGGACUUAAAAUCCCUCGGCCUCGGCUGUGCGGGUUCGAUCCCCGCCGCCCGCACCA